CCUUCGAACUGAGACACUGAAUCUGUAACUCUCAGCCGCCUUAGUCCUGCUCGCCUCGCCACUGCCGCGUGGUUACGUCAAGACAGCGGGCGGCCGCGUACUAGUUUCCUUAGUACUUGUGCUUCCGUGUCAAUACCGUGUGCUGUAAACUGCUGAACGAACUGAGAUACUCAUUCAGUUUUGGUCGCCUCUCCAUUAUCUCGUGGUGACGUAAAGGUGACGGCCCGUGUGUUAGUUUCCCCGGUAAUUGUGCCUCCGUAACAUUACUGUGUGCCGUGGUCGUGAGAACUGCGAGGCGGUGGUGUAGACUGUGCCGUGGAGAGCCGCGGGGUGUUGGAAUCGCCUGUCAGUCACCUUGAAGGCGUCAUAUUCCCUCCCUGCUCUUCCCCGUGUCUUCCUGUCUAUGUUGAAACACCUGGCUUUAGAGACCAUUGCCAGAGCGUCUGCCUCUGUUCCGGCGGCGCAUCACGUCUACGUUGACGGCUAGCUGUAGGAGGAUGGGAGUGCCGUGUGCUCCAUAUUCUCCGUGACAAUGGUGCCGCCCGGAGGAGAGCAGUGAGCCGGCGACUCACAGUCGGCUCUUUACGCCCUCGCUUCUCCAAGACCAACGCACCAGGAAGAUGUACAGAAAACAUUACGUCAGCUGGCCACAGCUCAAGGCAACAGGUUAGUCAUAUCAUUCUUGUGGUACCUUCUCAUGU